AUCACAGCCAAUGAGUCCCUUUGUAACAUAGCCCAUACACCACAUGGAUUUGAGAGAUUUGGGGAGGUGGGGGAGGGAAGUCUUGAUAUUUUGGUUUUUUUAUUUUCCAACCAGCAGUUUAACUAUGCCAUGUGGUGAUGGCAGAGGUGCAGCGCUUCAGUGAAAAUGUUUCAGUGGGUUCUGCGAACAGCCCUUGCGAGAACAGCCUACUCAGUCUGCUUCGGGUUUGCUUGGAAUGGCGGGAAGGAAGCUGGACAUGCUGCAGAACCUCACCUUUUAAUCCUGAGCUCCUAUACUUUGGUUCAUCUGCCACCAUUUGACUCUCAGCCAGCCCCAGGUGAAGAGGCUGAAUGGAAAAGGUUAAGUAGCUUGGCCUUCAUUCUGCUGACCCUAAGCCCUCUUCAUCACAAAGUUCUGGGCCCUCAGAUCUCAGCUCAGAUGCUGACCUUGACCCUUUGGCUAAAAGCAAUCCCUCCCCUCCCCAUUUCUCUCUUUCAGGAUCCAGUUUGUUCUCUGCAUGUCCUAUGAGCAUAAUUUAAAAUGGUCAUAUGUACAUUGUAUUUUGAGUUAUCAUUUCCCUUCUGGUGCACUCCUAUCAUGCCCAUGAAGGCAGCAACUGUUUUAUUUUGUCGCUUGGUAUCCCCAGCCAUAUUAAAGUAACUGACACUUAAUAAAUACUGAAUA
rnacentral:lncRNA from 1 species